rnacentral:rRNA from 1 species
UACGGGGGGGGCAAGCGUUGUUCGGAAUUAUUGGGCGUAAAGGGUUCGUAGGUGGCCGGCUAAGUCAGACGUGAAAUCCCUCAGCUUAACUGGGGAACUGCGUCUGAGACUGGUCGGCUUGAGUGCAGGAGAGGAACGCGGAAUUCCAGGUGUAGCGGUGAAAUGCGUAGAUAUCUGGAGGAACACCGGUGGCGAAGGCGGCGUUCUGGACUGCUACUGACACUGAGGAACGAAAGCCAGGGGAGCAAGCGGG